GACGAACCGUGCAAACGUUAUUCGGAUUCACUGGGCUUAAAGGGCGCGUAGGCGGGCCAUCCAGUCAGGGGUGAAAUCUUUCGGCUCAACCGGAAAAGUGCCUUUGAUACUGAUGGCCUCGAGGGAGGUAGGGGCAUGCGGAACUUCCGGUGGAGCGGUGAAAUGCGUAGAUAUCGGAAGGAACGCCGGUGGCGAAAGCGGCGUGCUGGACCUCUUCUGACGCUGAGGCGCGAAAGCUAGGGGAGCAAACGGG
rnacentral:rRNA from 1 species